AGAGUUUGAUCCUGGCUCAGGAUGAACGCUAGCGACAGGCCUAACACAUGCAAGUCGAGGGGCAUCGGGACGUAGCAAUACGUUGCCGGCGACCGGCGGAUGGGUGAGUAACGCGUAUGCAACCUACCCGUAGCAGGGGGAUAGCCCGUUGAAAGACGGAUUAAUACCCCGUAACACAGGGGCUCCGCAUGGAGAUUAUUGUUAAAGGGUCAUUUCUUUUUCAGGGAUGGUCCGGCUGCGGAUGGGCAUGCGUUCCAUUAGGUAGUUGGUGUAGGUAACUGCUCACCAAGCCGACGAUGGAUAGGGGAACUGAGAGGUUGGUCCCCCACACUGGUACUGAGACACGGACCAGACUCCUACGGGAGGCAGCAGUGAGGAAUUUUGGUCAAUGGACGCAAGUCUGAACCAGCCAUGUCGCGUGAAGGAGGACGGCCCUAAGGGUUGUAAACUUCUUUUGCAGUGGAAUAAAGUUUGCCACGUGUUGGCGAUUUGCAAGUACGCUGCGAAUAAGGAUCGGCUAACUCCGUGCCAGCAGCCGCGGUAAU
rnacentral:rRNA from 1 species